AGGCUGUUGCUGUAUUGGUAUAUAAGGAAAUCGUUCCAACCGGUUAUAUGUAUAACCUGGGAUGUGUAACCCACACUGGCUGUCUCCAAAACAGUGUUCAUACAAGAAACACAGGCUCCUAUGGCUCAAGCAGGUCCUUCUUCCGGGACUGCAGGCACUCGUACGGGUGUUGACACAUGUAAAUCCCAGGGAUGCAUCUGCUGCGAGCACAUACGGAAGGGCGCAGAUAAAUUUCAGAGCACAGCUACAGGAAAACAGUACGACAUCACACAAUAUCUGACUUGCAAGACGUCAAGUGUUAUCUACAUCAUCCAGUGUAAAAAAUGCCCGGUGCAGUAUGUAGGGAAGACUUCAACCACACUCCAAAGAAGAUUCAGUGAUCACAGAAGUUCUAUAAGAAAUCGCCAACAUCGGCCAAUCCCCGAUCAUUUCACCAACAAUGACCAUUGUCUUGAAGAUCUGAUUGUAUACCCAAUUGAGCAGGUUGAUGGUUCCAAAGCACUAAAUGAGAGGGAACUCUACUGGAUCAGAGAGCUUGAUACAGUAAACCAUGGACUAAAUCUGGUGCCAUAUGAAUGUGCAAGACAGCAGCAAUUGGGUGACGGUGAUGAAAGAUCAAUGGGACCAGCUGACAGACAAGUGGAAGAAUCCAUGAAGUGUGAGUGAAGUUGGGGGCAUUCAAACAGGAUAUAAAUGUAACAUUACAAGACACAAAAUAAUUCAGAUUGCUUGAAAUGUUACCAGACUCAUUCAGAAAAUAAAAUCUUUUCAGCUGUUCAAAAAUUCAUGGUUUAAAACUGGUAAACUACAGUGAAACAUGAACCUACUGAAUCACAUAGCUAGGGCAGUAUAUGCUGCUGUCAAUAAGACUUAAGAUUAAGGCUUUGGCAUGUUUACCCCUGAUGAGCACAUUCCACUAAAGCACUGUAAAGAAGAGAAGU